rnacentral:rRNA from 1 species
GUGGGGAAUAUUGGACAAUGGGCGAAAGCCUGAUCCAGCCAUGCCGCGUGUGUGAAGAAGGUCUUCGGAUUGUAAAGCACUUUAAGUUGGGAGGAAGGGCAGUAAGUUAAUACCUUGCUGUUUUGACGUUACCGACAGAAUAAGCACCGGCUAACUUCGUGCCAGCAGCCGCGGUAAUACGAAGGGUGCAAGCGUUAAUCGGAAUUACUGGGCGUAAAGCGCGCGUAGGUGGUUUUGUAAGUUGGAGGUGAAAUCCACGGGCUCAACCUGGGAACUGCCUCCAAAACUGCAUGACUAGAGUACGGUAGAGGGUAGUGGAAUUUCUUGUGUAGCGGUGAAAUGCGUAGAUAUAGGAAGGAACACCAGUGGCGAAGGCGACUACCUGGACUGAUACUGACACUGAGGUGCGAAAGCGUGGGGAGCAAACAGGAUUAGAAACCCGGGUAGUCC